UUGAUCCUGGCUCAGAUUGAACGUUGGCGGCAGGCCUAAUACAUGCAAGUCGAACGAGAAAGUCCCUUCGGGGGCGAGUAGAGUGGCGGACGGGUGAGUAACGCGUAGGAAUCCACCCAAUAGUGGGGGAUAACCCGAGGAAACUCGGGCUAAUACCGCAUGUGACCUUCGGUUUCGACCGGGGAUGAAAGCGGGGGAUCGGCACGCCGGCGCAAGUCGGCGCUAAGACCUCGCGCUAUUGGACGAGCCUGCGUUGGAUUAGCUUGUUGGUGAGGUAAUGGCUCACCAAGGCGACGAUCCAUAGCUGGUCUGAGAGGACGAUCAGCCACACUGGAACUGAGACACGGUCCAGACUCCUACGGGGAGGCAGCAGUAGGGAAUAUUGUGCAAUGGGCGAAAAGCCUGACACAGCCAUGCCGCGUGUGUGAAGAAGGCCCCUAGGGUUGUAAAGCACUUUCCACCGGAAAAAGAAAAAGCCCCGGAGCUAAUAACCCUCCAGGGUCCUUGACGUUACCCGGCAGAAAGAAGCACCCGGGCU
rnacentral:rRNA from 1 species